rnacentral:rRNA from 1 species
AGAGCGAACGCUGGCGGCAGGCUUAACACAUGCAAGUCGAGCGGGCGUAGCAAUACGUCAGCGGCAGACGGGUGAGUAACGCGUGGGAACGUACCUUUUGGUUCGGAACAACCCAGGGAAACUUGGGCUAAUACCGGAUAAGCCCUUACGGGGAAAGAUUUAUCGCCGAAAGAUCGGCCCGCGUCUGAUUAGCUAGUUGGUGAGGUAAUGGCUCACCGAGGCGACGAUCAGUAGCUGGUCUGAGAGGAUGAUCAGCCACAUUGGGACUGAGACACGGCCCAAACUCCUACGGGAGGCAGCAGUGGGGAAUAUUGGACAAUGGGCGCAAGCCUGAUCCAGCCAUGCCGCGUGAGUGAUGAAGGCCCUAGGGUUGUAAAGCUCUUUUGUGCGGGAAGAUAAUGACGGUACCGCAAGAAUAACGCCCCGGCUAACUUCGCGCCAGCAGCCGC